rnacentral:rRNA from 1 species
GCUGACAUGAGUAACGAUAAUGGGGGUGAAAAACCCCCACGCCGGAAGACCAAGGUUUCCUGUCCCAUGCUAAUCAGGGCAGGGUAAGUCGGCCCCUAAGGCGAGGCAGAAAUGCGUAGUCGAUGGGAAACGGAUUAAUAUUUCCGUACUUAUAUAAUCAGUGAUGGAGGGACGGAGAAGGCUAGGCAAGCUUGGCGUUGGUUGUCCAAGUGAAAGCGAGUAGGCCGAGAAUUUAGGUAAAUCCGGAUUCUUAAAGCUGAGACGCGAGACGAGCUCCCAAGGGAGUGAAGUUGUUGAUGCCCUGCUUCCAGGAAAAGCUUCUAAACUUAUGAUUAUAUGAACCGUACCCCAAACCGACACAGGUGGUCAGGUAGAGAAUACUAAGGCGCUUGAGAGAACUCGGGUGAAGGAACUCGGCAAAAUUGUACCGUAACUUCGGGAGAAGGUACGCCCUUGUUUGUGAUGGGAUUUACUCCUUAAGCAGAUGAGGGCCGCAGUGACCAGGUGGCUGGGACUGUUUAUUAAAAACACAGCACUGUGCAAAAUCGCAAGAUGACGUAUACGGUGUGACACCUGCCCGGUGCCGGAAGGUUAAUUGAUGGGGUUAGCGUAAGCGAAGCUCUUGAUCGAAGCCCCGGUAAACGGCGGCCGUAACUAUAACGGUCCUAAGGUAGCGAAAUUCCUUGUCGGGUAAGUUCCGACCUGCACGAAUGGUGUAACCAUGGCCACGCUGUCUCCACCCGAGACUCAGUGAAAUUGAAAUCGCAGUGAAGAUGCUGUGUACCCGCGGCUAGACGGAAAGACCCCGUGAACCUUUACUACAGCUUGGCACUGAACAUUGAACCUACAUGUGUAGGAUAGGUGGGAGGCUUUGAAGCACAGUCGCUAGAUUGUGUGGAGCCGUCCUUGAAAUACCACCCUUGUAUGUUUGAUGUUCUAACAUUGGUCCCUUAUCGGGAUUGUGGACAGUGUCUGGUGGGUAGUUUGACUGGGGCGGUCUCCUCCCAAAUCGUAACGGAGGAGCACGAAGGUUGGCUAAUCCUGGUCGGACAUCAGGAGGUUAGUGCAAUGGCAUAAGCCAGCUUAACUGCGAGACAGACACGUCGAGCAGGUACGAAAGUAGGUCAUAGUGAUCCGGUGGUUCUGAAUGGAAGGGCCAUCGCUCAACGGAUAAAAGGUACUCCGGGGAUAACAGGCUGAUACCGCCCAAGAGUUCAUAUCGACGGCGGUGUUUGGCACCUCGAUGUCGGCUCAUCACAUCCUGGGGCUGAAGUCGGUCCCAAGGGUAUGGCUGUUCGCCAUUUAAAGUGGUACGCGAGCUGGGUUUAGAACGUCGUGAGACAGUUCGGUCCCUAUCUGGUGUGGGCGUUGGAUGAUUGAUGGGAGCUGCUCCUAGUACGAGAGGACCGGAGUGGACGAACCGCUGGUGUUCGGGUUGUCAUGCCAAUGGCAUUGCCCGGUAGCUAUGUUCGGAACGGAUAACCGCUGAAAGCAUCUAAGCGGGAAGCCGGCCCAAAGAUGAGUCAUCCCUGAACUUUAAGUUCUGGAAGGGUUGU